rnacentral:rRNA from 1 species
CGGUGCCUAAAACAUGCAGUCGAGCGAGAUCUGACCGUCGCAAGACGGAAGGUGAAAGCGGCGAACGGGCGAGGAAUAAGUUGAUACCUUCCCAUGAGUGAGGGAUAACUCUUCGAAAGAAGAGCUAAUACCGCAUAAUCCCUACGGGGAAAAGCCGCAAGGCGCUUUUGGAGGGGUCUGCUUCCUAUCAGCUAGUUGGCGGGGUAAAAGCCCACCAAGGCGACGACGGGUAGCUGGUCUGAGAGGACGGCCAGCCGCAAUGGGACUGAGACACGGCCCAUACUCCUACGGGAGGCAGCAGUUAGGAAUCUUCCACAAUGGGCGAAAGCCUGAUGGAGUGACACCGCGUGAAGGAUGAAGCCUUUAUUGGCGUAAACUUCUUUUCUCAGGGACGAUAAUGACGGUACCUGAGGAAUAAGGGGUUGCCAACUACGUGCCAGCAGCAGCGGUAAUACGUAGGCCCCGAGCGUUAUCCGGAUUUACUGGGCGUAAAGAGUCUGUAGGCGGGAAAGAAAGUCGGUCAUCAAAUUCCGGGGCUCAACCCCGGUUCGUGAUCGAAACUCCUUUUCUUGAUCGGUUAAGAGGCAAGCGGAACGGUAGGAGUAGGGGUGCAAUCCGUUGACACCUACCAGAACACCAAAAGCGAAGGCAGCUUGCUGGGAACCUGAUGACGCUGAGAGACGAAAGCGUGGGGAGCGAAAAGGAUUAGAUACCCUUGUAGUCCACGCCCUAAACAAUGAUAACUAGGUGUCGGAAUUUCCGGUGCCGUAGCACACGCGUUAAGUUAUCCGCCUGAGGAGUACGGCCGCAAGGCUAAAACUCAAAUGAAUAGACGGGGGCCCACACAAGCAGUGGUCCAUGGGGUUUAAUUCGACAAUAAACGAGGAAUCUCACCCAGGUUUGACAUGUGCAGAACCCGCCGGAAACGGUGGGGUGCCCUCACGGGAGCUGCAACACAGGUGCUGCAUGGUUGUCGUCAGCUCGUGCCUUGAGGUGUUCGGUUGAGUCCGUUAACGAGCGCAACCCAUACCGUUAGUUAUACUGUCUAACGGGACUGCCUGAGUUAAUCAGGAGGAAGGUGUGGAUGACGUCAAAUCAGCAUGGCCCUUAUACCUGGGGCCACACCCAUGGAACAAUGGUCGGUACAAAGGGUUGCCAAGCAGCGAUGCGGAGCCAAUCCCAUAAAGCCGAUCCCAGUCCAGAUCGGAGUCUGAAACUCGACUCCGUGAAGUCGGAAUUGCUAGUAAUCGUGUAUCAGACAUGUCACGGUGAAUAUGUUCCUGGGCCUUGUACUCACCGCCCGUCAAGGCAUGGGAGGAAGAAUAUCGGAAUCCCCGAAUAAUGUCGGGCCCAUG